rnacentral:rRNA from 1 species
CUGCGGCAGCGACGCUGAUGCGUUGUUGGGUAGGGGAGCGUUCUGUAAGCCUGUGAAGGUGGCCUGUGAGGGUUGCUGGAGGUAUCAGAAGUGCGAAUGCUGACAUAAGUAACGAUAAAGCGGGUGAAAAGCCCGCUCGCCGGAAGACCAAGGGUUCCUGUCCAACGUUAAUCGGGGCAGGGUGAGUCGACCCCUAAGGCGAGGCCGAAAGGCGUAGUCGAUGGGAAACGGGUUAAUAUUCCCGUACUUGGUGUUACUGCGAAGGGGGGACGGAGAAGGCUAUGUUGGCCGGGCGACGGUUGUCCCGGUUUAAGCGUGUAGGUGUGUGUUCCAGGUAAAUCCGGUUCACUUUAACACUGAGGCGUGAUGACGAGGCACUACGGUGCUGAAGCAACAAAUGCCCUGCUUCCAGGAAAAGCCUCUAAGCAUCAGGUAACAUCAAAUCGUACCCCAAACCGACACAGGUGGUCAGGUAGAGAAUACCAAGGCGCUUGAGAGAACUCGGGUGAAGGAACUAGGCAAAAUGGUGCCGUAACUUCGGGAGAAGGCACGCUGACACGUAGGUGAAGUGAUUUACUCAUGGAGCUGAAGUCAGUCGAAGAUACCAGCUGGCUGCAACUGUUUAUUAAAAACACAGCACUGUGCAAACACGAAAGUGGACGUAUACGGUGUGACGCCUGCCCGGUGCCGGAAGGUUAAUUGAUGGGGUCAGCGCAAGCGAAGCUCCUGAUCGAAGCCCCGGUAAACGGCGGCCGUAACUAUAACGGUCCUAAGGUAGCGAAAUUCCUUGUCGGGUAAGUUCCGACCUGCACGAAUGGCGUAAUGAUGGCCAGGCUGUCUCCACCCGAGACUCAGUGAAAUUGAACUCGCUGUGAAGAUGCAGUGUACCCGCGGCAAGACGGAAAGACCCCGUGAACCUUUACUAUAGCUUGACACUGAACAUUGAGCCUUGAUGUGUAGGAUAGGUGGGAGGCUUUGAAGUGUGGACGCCAGUCUGCAUGGAGCCGGCCUUGAAAUACCACCCUUUAAUGUUUGAUGUUCUAACGUGGACCCGUGAUCCGGGUUGCGGACAGUGUCUGGUGGGUAGUUUGACUGGGGCGGUCUCCUCCUAAAGAGUAACGGAGGAGCACGAAGGUUGGCUAAUCCUGGUCGGACAUCAGGAGGUUAGUGCAAUGGCAUAAGCCAGCUUGACUGCGAGCGUGACGGCGCGAGCAGGUGCGAAAGCAGGUCAUAGUGAUCCGGUGGUUCUGAAUGGAAGGGCCAUCGCUCAACGGAUAAAAGGUACUCCGGGGAUAACAGGCUGAUACCGCCCAAGAGUUCAUAUCGACGGCGGUGUUUGGCACCUCGAUGUCGGCUCAUCACAUCCUGGGGCUGAAGUAGGUCCCAAGGGUAUGGCUGUUCGCCAUUUAAAGUGGUACGCGAGCUGGGUUUAGAACGUCGUGAGACAGUUCGGUCCCUAUCUGCCGUGGGCGCUGGAGAACUGAGGGGGGCUGCUCCUAGUACGAGAGGACCGGAGUGGACGCAUCACUGGUGUUCGGGUUGUCAUGCCAAUGGCACUGCCCGGUAGCUAAAUGCGGAAGAGAUAAGUGCUGAAAGCA